AUUGAACGCUGGCGGUAUGCUUAACACAUGCAAGUCGAACGGUAACAGGCCUUCGGGCGCUGACGAGUGGCGGACGGUGAGUAACGCGUAGGAAUCUGCCUCAUAGUGGGGGACAACGUGGGGAAACUCACGCUAAUACCGCAUACGCCCUACGGGGAAAGCGGGGGAGUCUUCGGACCUCGCGCUAUGAGAUGAGCCUGCGUUAGAUUAGCUAGUUGGUAGGGUAAAGGCCUACCAAGGCGACGAUCUAUAGCUGGUCUGAGAGGACGAUCAGCCACACUGGGACUGAGACACGGCCCAGACUCCUACGGGAGGCAGCAGUGGGGAAUAUUGGACAAUGGGCGCAAGCCUGAUCCAGCAAUACCGCGUGUGUGAAGAAGGCCCUAGGGUUGUAAAGCGACUUUCAAUUGGAGGAAAACCUAGUCGGUCGAAUACCGGCAGCUUGACAUUACCUUUAGAAGAAG
rnacentral:rRNA from 1 species